AGAAAACUCUGGAGUGGAAUGUGGCAGCUGCCCAGCAUUUCACAGCAAUAUUACACAGGAGUUUAGGACAGGAAGUGAAGAAAAAUAUUCCCACAAAAACUGAAGGGGGAAAUUUAUACCAGCAAAAUGGAAGAUAUCUGACGAUGAACAGACGCUGUCAAAUAGCUGGAAACAAUUCUGCCUGCCUGAGUUAAGAACCCACCCAACAGCUUAGGGUGCUGGCCAGCAGUACUUGGCAGUUAAAGAGCAACAUGCUGCUACCAUUAAUCGGUAGUACCACACAGAGAUGCCAAGAGCCAUGGAAAAUAGAAUCUUCCAGCAUGAUUCUGAGUGAAACUGAUCAUUUGAAGAAUGGAAACAAGCAAGAAAGCUAAACUGUCAUCCUUUCUUCGGAGGACCUAAAAGAACCAAGAGUGAACAGGAGCAUGAUAUGAUGGCGAAGAC